GUCCCCGUAGUUCAGUUGGAUAGAACAACAGUUUCCUAAACUGUGUGUCGGAGGUUCAAGUCCUCUCGGGGGCA
rnacentral:tRNA from 1 species